UACGGAGGGUGCAAGCGUUAAUCGGAAUUACUGGGCGUAAAGCGCACGCAGGUGGCUGAGUCAGUCGAUUGUGAAAGCCCUGGGCUUAACCUGGGAAUUGCAGUCGAUACUACUUAGCUAGAGUAUGGGAGAGGGCAGUGGAAUUCCCGGUGUAGCGGUGAAAUGCGUAGAGAUGUGGAGGAACACCAAUGGCGAAGGCAGCCUUCUGGGUCGACACUGACGCUCAUGCACGAAAGCGUGGGGAGCAAACAGG
rnacentral:rRNA from 1 species